AAAUUACUUCCUGUAUUUCCGGAAGUAGUUAACCCGCGAACCGGAAACGGAGUUAGCUCAUUGGCGUUCAGCAGUAAAACGAAAAACACGUCUAUAAACAUCUUUUUGCAGCAGUAUUUGGGAUCUUCUUAAGUGAAGGAGAGAAGGUUCAUCUGUUUGGAUGCUGAAGGCAAAGAGCUGCAGAAUGAAAGUCUCACCAGUAAACCGGAAGAAGAGCUGCCAGCUGCUGUUGCCGUGGGUGACGAUGAAGACGUUGGCAAAGGCAUCGACUCAGGUGCCGUCUCUGAGGGCAACGAGGAGGCUGGGACAACUGACCACACCCCCAGAGACUUGAACUGCGGCGUUGGGGCUCGUUCAUGAAAGUCACCCAACAUGUUACACAAAAUAAACGUGUUUUUUUCACUUUGA